CAGUAGCCUCGGUAAUACGAAGGGUGCAAGCGUUACUCGGAAUUACUGGGCGUAAGGCGUGCGUAGGUGGUGGUUUAAGUCCGUUGUGAAAGCCCUGGGCUCAACCUGGGAAUUGCAGUGGAUACUGGGUCACUAGAGUGUGGUAGAGGAUAGUGGAAUUUCCGGUGUAGCAGUGAAAUGCGUAGAGAUCUGGAGGAAUACCGGUGGCGAAGGCGGCCCCCUGGACAAAGACUGACGCUCAGGUGCGAAAGCGUGAGGAGCAAACAGGAUUAGAUACCCCCGUAGUCCCUGUCUCUUAUAC
rnacentral:rRNA from 1 species